UGAAGUUAGCGGCGGACGGGUGAGUAACACGUGGGUAACCUGCCCAUAAGACUGGGAUAACUCCGGGAAACCGGGGCUAAUACCGGAUAACAUUUUGAACUGCAUGGUUCGAAAUUGAAAGGCGGCUUCGGCUGUCACUUAUGGAUGGACCCGCGUCGCAUUAGCUAGUUGGUGAGGUAACGGCUCACCAAGGCAACGAUGCGUAGCCGACCUGAGAGGGUGAUCGGCCACACUGGGACUGAGACACGGCCCAGACUCCUACGGGAGGCAGCAGUAGGGAAUCUUCCGCAAUGGACGAAAGUCUGACGGAGCAACGCCGCGUGAGUGAUGAAGGCUUUCGGGUCGUAAAACUCUGUUGUUAGGGAAGAACAAGUGCUAGUUGAAUAAGCUGGCACCUUGACGGUACCUAACCAGAAAGCCACGGCUAACUACGUGCCAGCAGCCGCGGUAAUACGUAGGUGGCAAGCGUUAUCCGGAAUUAUUGGGCGUAAAGCGCGCGCAGGUGGUUUCUUAAGUCUGAUGUGAAAGCCCACGGCUCAACCGUGGAGGGUCAUUGGAAACUGGGAGACUUGAGUGCAGAAGAGGAAAGUGGAAUUCCAUGUGUAGCGGUGAAAUGCGUAGAGAUAUGGAGGAACACCAGUGGCGAAGGCGACUUUCUGGUCUGUAACUGACACUGAGGCGCGAAAGCGUGGGGAGCAACAGGAUUAGAUACCUGGUAGUCACGCCGUAAACGAUGAGUGCUAAGUGUAGAGGUUUCGCCCUUUAGUGCUGAAGUAACGCAUAAGCACUCCGCCUGGGGAGUACGCCGCAAGCUGAACUCAAAGAAUUGACGGGGCCCGCACAAGCGGUGGAGCAUGUGGUUUAAUCGAAGCACGCGAAGACCUUACAGGUCUUGACAUCCUCUGAAACCCUAGAGAUAGG
rnacentral:rRNA from 1 species